UCUGGGAGAUGCUGCUGGUAAAAAGAGGGGGGAAACCUUCUCUCAUUUUUUUGGCAAUAUAUGCUAUGAUAGCACAUGCCUGGCAUGUUGAGAACAAUGGCCCUUUGUUCUGCCCUAUUCUAGAACAAUAGAUCUGAAGAAAGAAAAACGUGCAGUCUAGAUCAAGAGCUUCUCAUCAGCCCUCCCUCACUCCUACCCACACUGAAAAAGAUAUAAGUAGCCAUAUUGGGGGUAAUGGAAAAGAAGAAGUGAAAGGACAAGGAAAACGCAGGGAACAGAGGUGGGCGGGGGGAUGUAAUCCAAGCUACUUUGUGCUUCAUAGAAGAUUGGGGAAAUUGUAGCGGGGAUGUGAGCAACCCUCAGAAAUAAACCACAACAAAAUAAUGUUCGUGCAUUCUUUGACAUUGAUUGUUCAUGAAGAGAAUUUCCAGCUCAACAAUCAGGACUGCUGCUUGAAAGAUUUCUUUUCCUCCCUGUCAUGCAGAUGAAUAUAUUUUCCAAGUGAAGACAUAAGCAAAAGUAGUUUCAGAAGUCUGGUGGAAUUGCGAAGGAAAUUCUACACAACAAAUGUCAAAGGAGAAGAAACAUGCUCACCAGAGUUGUUCGUUUCCACCAUAGAGGAGAUCCAGUGCAAAGUACAAAUGAAAAAGGGAUUCCCUCCAGAUGGAUGAAAGAAAAUAGACACUGAACUAUAUCAUCAGGUGUUGGAAAGAUUAUAGAAGAUAUGAAUGCUGAACCUCAGUCAUUAAACUGUGAAAGAUCAUAGAAAACAGAAGACAUAUCAGAGGACUGAGAACAGAACCAUGAGCAAUGGGUGGAAUUCACACAGAAGAAAAUUUAGGUUUGAUGCCAGGAAAAGUUUUCUAACAGCUGGAUCUGAGAAAAGUGGAAUGAGUUGCUUUGAGAAGAAGGCAGGUUUCCUGUCACUGGAGGUCUUCCAACAAAGGCUGGACCUUCCCCAAUAUGUUAGAAUGGGAAUUUUUUUCUGGUACAGGAUAAACUGGGUUGCUACUGGCAUUUCUUCCAACACUAACAUGUCACAAUUUUGUGGGUCUCCUCAACCCUGAGGACAGAACUAACAGUAGAGGGUAGGAGCUGUAAAGAAACAUAUUUUGGUUUCGAGAAAGAGAAAUAACUGAUUAUUACAGCUGU